GCACUGAGUCAGGCUGGGGUUCAAACAUGUAAGGAGGAUCCUAAGGCAAACAGACUGAGUCAGCUGCAGGUCCAAGGGAAGCAGAUAAGGCAUCACAGUUAUUUGCUCAGAACAGGCUCUUCAGCAGAAUUGACUAGGGAGGACUGGAUGUCUCCAUUCUUUACAGCCUUCUCAUCUUAAGGGAACCAGUUUCUUCUGCCACUGAUGGAACUUCCUCUGAAUCUGUAAGGCUGGUCAAAGAUGAAAGUGCCAAUAAAGUGUGGACUGCUCUGCUCCUUCCAUUGACACACAGCACUUUCCGCAGCUUCUCCAGGCUCCACAGACACUUGCCAGAUGGUGGUGACUACUGGGAAGACUUAAAAUGCAUCAAAGUGCUGAAAAGAAGCGAC